rnacentral:lncRNA from 1 species
AUGAAGAAGACCAGGAUCCAAAGGUCCUGCCGACGUCCUGCACUGCCCUGCCUCUGCCAUGCAAAUGAUUACAGCCUUCCUACUGACAUCCAGGAAACUAAAUUGGAGAAGCAAGGGGCCCGUGUUAUGUGUGGACACAAGGAACAGCAAAAGAAUGAUAUAAAGCACUCCUGUAGCUCCUACUGCAACAGCCUGGUUAAUUUCAGGUCUCCUUAAAGCUGAAUCUUGCAUCACAAAGGGUACAUUUCCAUGCAAGAACAAAAUGGUGACAAUCUCU